rnacentral:rRNA from 1 species
GAUGAACGCUGACAGAAUGCUUAACACAUGCAAGUCAUUCGCGAAGCUGCGCUUGCGCAGUCUAGCCAAGGCGGACGGGUGAGUAACGCGUAAGGAACUUGCCCUGCAGACAGGGAUAACAGACGGAAACGACUGAUAACACCUGGUAUUGUCAGGCUGGCGCAUGCCGGCCUGAUGAAAGGAGACGCUGCAGGAGAGCCUUGCGUCCUAUUAGCUAGUUGGUGGGGUAACGGCCCACCAAGGCGAUGAUAGGUAGCCGGCCUGAGAGGGUGAACGGCCACGAGGGGACUGAGAUACGGCCCUUACGCCUACGGGAGGCAGCAGUGGGGAAUAUUGGACAAUGGGGGCAACCCUGAUCCAGCAAUUCUGUGUGCACGAAGAAGGUUUUCGGAUUGUAAAGUGCUUUCAGCAGGGAAGAAGAAAGUGACGGUACCUGCAGAAGAAGCGACGGCUAAAUACGUG